AUUCCUUCCCCGCAUCUGCUAGAGAGCAGGGCAAGGCCAAAGGGUCAGAGGCUCGAGGAAUGCGGGGUGGUGUCGGGGGGUAAAAGGACAUACCUGAGAAGGCCCCAGACCCUCGCUCCACCAGGAGGUAAGGAAACUGAAGCCUCAGGCGAAGAGAUGAUUUCAAAGAACUUCAGAGCUAAGAGUCUUCUUCGACUAAAGAACUUGAAGGGCCAGUUCCAGAGACCCUGUGACCUCAGGCUCCAGAGAUGGCUCCGUAAGGCAAACUCACCAUGACCACUGGUCAAUGACUCACUUCUCCUCCCAGGCGCCCUCCCAGGGAUGAGCGCUCCUUCACUCUGCCUCCCUCAGCCCUUGCUCCGGUCUCUCUGCAGCUGGGGUCAGUGUUCCCAGUGAAGUCAGCGUGUGGAGCACACAUGCCUCGUACCCACAUUCAUGCCCAUGUGUGCGUGUGCACACGCAUGUGGGGCCUGUGUGUCUCUUUCUCUGAGACCCACUCAAGAUCUGCAUGCACCUCGGGCCCCCUCCCAGAGUGCUGCAGCCAGAUGCACCUGGAGCCCCACCCGUCAGCCCAGGGAGACAUGCCCCUGCUGAAUUCAGAGAAUGAUCCAGAAGGAUUCAGGAAAUGAGGACCAUUCAUGAACCCAGCGACUGAUGAAGAGCACCUUCCUCACAUCCGCUGCCAAACUCACCCGAAAAGAAGAGACAGAGGAAGACCCCAGAGGAUUGCAAUUUGAGGACACCUCCAACUCAUGCUCACUGCACUUGGUCCAAAAUGAUCAGAGGGGAGAUUUGGCUCAUGCUCUGGCCUCACUGGCUCCCAUCACCAUUGCCUCUGCCCCUCCAGCCUCUGCCAGGCGCCUGGCUCUGACCCUUGCUGACACUUCAGGCCCCUCACCCUUAGAACUGACUGCCAAAGGGCUAGUUGCUUAGUCUUCAAGUAAAGGGGGUCUGGAGGACUAUGGAGGAGGCAUAGUGCCUAGAGAGCCCCUCGCCUCAAGACACCCCCACUGCACUUGGGAGGAAAGGCAGGGCUGGGGGAUGGAGGCACUGUGGGGGCCUUUCCUAUUUGGCAGCAGCUGCAGCCAUGCGCACCAUAGCCACAGCACGCAGCACACAUCUUCUGUCUCACAGUGAUUGAAGAUUUUGCCAAACCACCGGUCAGACAGAUUUCCCCCCAAGCCCCACAUUAAUUGAUUUUUGGAUUCUGCAACCCAAGCUCAAGCUCAAGCUCCGAGCUCACUGCUGAGCUCAGACUCCUGGGUGUCCCACAACGGCUUCGAUGUGGAGGCCAUGACGCUGAAGCCAAAGUUGUCAGACACCUGGGCUGCACUUGCCUGUGCAACGAGCCUGGGAAAGCAGCUCUGGGGAUUGCACCCACAGUGCCAGGGCUCGGGAGCCUCUGAGCUCAGGGAGGCCUUCAGGGACAGGCGCUCGGCCAGCUGCCUGGGUAGGCUACUAAUGAGCAGAUGUGUUCCAGGCUGUCUGCCCAAGGGGCAGCUGCACCUGGGCUGGAGAGCUGAGACUCUCUGGGGUUCUGCAGCCUCUGUCCUCCUCAGCCUGGCCCGACAGCCCCUCGUUCUGAUACAGGAGGGCACAGCUGCCUGACGCCCCUCCUUCCCCAUCUCUGCCUCUCUAAUCUUCCUUGAGGAAGAUUCCAUCAGAGGUUUUACUUACAUAUUCCUACACCAUGCCUGGAACAUAGUAGGUACUCAAUAAAUCCAACUUUUCCUGAGUUAGUGGUGAGGAAAAGCUGGACUCAGGAUCAGGCUGCCUGUGAAGCCUGGCCUGUAGCCUGCCAGCUCUCCCAGCCUCAGGGUCCUCACACCCACACGUGUGUGCAGUAACAGAGCACUUCUUGCCUGCAACAGUGCCUGGUUCCCAGUGUAUGCCACUGGGAUCCGUAUUAUUAUUAAGUGAUCCGUAUUAUUAUUUUAUCUUAAGAGAGGAAUCCAGCUGUGUCCAAAUGAGGGGUUGGGACAAAAUAAAAGCUAGAAUCCAGUCUUGCAGGUGGGGACAUGGCACCUGGGUCUCCACACUGACCCGUGCUGCCCACCCUCUCACAUGCUAUCUAGAGACGGCACUCCUUGUGGAAUGCUGCAGGAGGUGCUCCACUGGCACGAAGUGGGUGGGCUCUUAGCACAGACCCAAACAGUAAGUGACUUUUCACACUCCCAUCGCAUCUCCAAAGCUACAUGCAAAACACUGAUCUUCACAGGGGUUAGAACACAACUUCCAGAAGGCCUCUUUCUUUUUUUUUUUUUUCUCCCUUUUUUUUUUUUAUUAUUAUACUUUAAGUUCUGAGAUACAUGUGCAGAACAUGCAGGUUUGUUACAUAGGUAUACAAGAGCCAUGGUGGUUUGCUGCACCCAUCAACCCGUCAUCUACAUUACGUAUUUCUCCUAAUGCUAUCCCUCCCCUAACCCCCAACCCCCUGGCAGGCCCCAGUGUGUGAUGUUCCCCUCCCUGUGUUCAUGUGCUCUCACUGUUCAACUCCCACUUAUGAGGGAGAACAAGCAGUGUUUGGUUUUCUGUUCCUGUGUUAGUUUGCUGAGAAUGAUGGUUUCCAGCUUCAUCCAUGUCCCUGCAAAGGACAUGAAGUCAUCCUUUUUGAUGGCUGUAUAGUAUUCCAUGGUGUAUAUGUGCCAUGUUUUCUUUAUCCAGUCUAUCAUUGAUGGGCAUUUGGGUUGGUUCCAAGUCUUUGUUAUUGUGAACAGUGCUGCAAUAAACAUACGUGUGCAUGCGUCUUUAUAGUAGAAUAAUUGAUAAUCCUUUUGUUAUAUACCCAGUAAUGGCAUUGUUGGGUCAAAUGGUAUUUCUUGUUCUAGAUCCUUGAGGAAUCGCCACACUGUCUUUCACAAUGGUUGAACUGGUUUACACUCCCACCAACAGUGUAAAAGCAUGCCUAUUUUUCCACAUCCUCUCCAGCAUCUGUUGUUGCCUGACUUUUUAAUGAUCACCAUUCUAACUAGCAUGAGAUGGUAUCUCAUUAUGGUUUUGAUUUGCAUUUCUCUAAUGACCAUUUCUCUAAUGAUGAGCUUUUUUUCAUAUGUUUGUUGGCUGCAAAAAUGUCUUCUUUUGAGAAGUGUCCAUUCAUAUCUUUUGCCCAUUUUUUGAGUGGGGUUGCUUUUUUCUUAUAAACUUGUUAAAGUUCCUUAUAGAUUCUGGAUAUUAGCCCUUUGUCAGAUGGAUAGAUUGCAAAAAUUUUCUCCCAUUCUGUAGGUUGUCUGUUCACUCUGAUGAUAGUU
rnacentral:lncRNA from 1 species